CACUGUGUGAAGUUGGGUUGCAACUUUCAUGUGGUCCACUCUGUUUCAACGAAUACAAUCAACCUGGCAUGCACAAUCAAAUAAGAUCAAAUAGAACAAGUUGUCCUGCAACUUUAGGCUGUGCACAGCCAUAUGCAUG